GUACACACGCGCAGACAGACACACGGACACACACCCACCACCACCAUCACCACCCUGGUCCUUGCAGCAGCCCGGCCCUCCCCACGGCGCAGACCUCCCCCCUCCCCCGCGCCGUUGUGUAAGCAGCUCCCUCACAAGACAAUUCACGAGAAGCUGCCCGAGGUGAUCUAAGGCACCCUAAGGAUCCCAUGGCAGCCCAGCGUCGCUGCAAGGCACGUAUAUUGCCCCUUCCAGCUCGGAAAACUUAAGUGCGUGAGGGAAGCCCAAGCCAGCGGGGCGGGGCGCCUUCAGCGGUGGGGCCAACAUGUAGUAACCGAAAUCCUCUGAACCCGACUUUGGAGCGAGUCGCUGAGGUCUUCCAGUCCUGCAUCCAGCACUGAUGCACUUUCUUCUGGCCUUCACAGCCCAGCCAAAGAUUGCAGAUUCACCUCGCUUGGGCCCAAGACUGAGACGGGCCCAGCGCUGUUGCCCUGUUGUUGCCAGUUGCAUCCCUGUUGCUCUUACAACCAGCGGUACAAACAGAUCACCUGGAGAGGCUGGCUGUAACCAUAGUGACAGUAGCGGUCCUGAAAAGAUGUGUGUAGCUCUAGCAAGGGGAGUAUCAAAGGAGGUGUAUCCUCCUGACUUGGUAGAAGGAGCUGGCAGAUAGCAAUAUUCUCCCUGCACUGCUACCUGCAGCAGAAGUGUAAGUGGCAAAACACAAGUGCCUUUUGGUAGCUGCCCAAAUCAUGAAAUGCCCAGGAGUUUCUAUGCUUCUAAUGUUAAAUAUAACUCCUCACUUGGUCUCAUGCAGCUUCUCUCCAUGCAGGUCUUCAUACUUAUCCUCAUUAGGCCAGUUGUUCAUUCCAGUAGUUCCUUUGCUUCCUGUGAUAAUUAAGCACCAAUGAGAAAUUAAAGGAGGUGAUCACUCUUCCAGUCAGAAGAUGGCCUGAGAAGGAGGUAGCCUGGUGGCAGUAGUGUGGAGAGGUGACAUGAGAGACCUACAUUUUCCGUUUGCUGAAUUGUUUUCUCCGGUGAUGAUUGAUGGUCCAGCCAGAUUAUGCCGUGAUGCAGACCAGGCAGCUACAACAUACAGACAUUUUGGGCCCUUUCCCACAGACGCCAUCAAAGGCAGUAUUGCCGCAAAUAAUAAGAUAAAUCCCCCAUGGAUUUACCUGAGCAAAGCUGAAAUGUAUGGUUUCUGUGGAUCAAUUUAGCAAAGACUUGUCAAGGAGAAGGCUUCUCCAUACUGUUGCAAAAAGAAAAGCCUGUCAGAAAAGGCAAUUUCAUUUCUUUACUGUGUUAAGUCAGUAAAGUACAGCUGCAGUAACUCCUGAAAGCUAAGCCUGGUUUCUCACUUACUUAUCUGGCUCUUGACAGCAAAUCAAGGCAACAAAUUCACAAAAUCACAGAAUAGUUGAGGUUAGAAGGGACCUCUGGAGAUCAUCUGGUCCAACCCCCUGCUCAAGCAGGGUCACCUAGAGCAGGCUGCCCAGGACUGUGUCCAAUUGGGUUUUGAUUAUGUCCAAGGGUGGAGACUCAACAGCCUUUCUGCGCAACCUGGAAACUGUCCAUUUCUGUAAAAGGAGGGCUGUUGUUAAGCAGCAGCUAUAACAUACUAAAUGCUUUACUGUAGAUUAUGUGUCCUUAAAACAUGUCUUGAUUUUACAUGUUAUCUGGUAUCUGUAUGAGCUGACUGACAAGAGAGUGUGUUAGGCAAAAACUAUUUAGAAAGUGGGCUGGGAAGGACAACAUACAUACUGUUCAAGAAGGAAGAAUGAGCUCUGCCAUGUGAUGCAAACUGUUCAUUUAAGCUUUUCUGUGUCCUGGAAGCAGGUUUUAACGAAAUAAGAACUUGACGUUUUGUAGAAAGAAGCUGAACUACAAGGAAGAGGUUAUGAGGAUUCAGCAUAAUGCAGUUUCCUCACAGUGAGUGGAAGUGUAAUAACAGCCACGCUUCAGGACUACGCUUUCGACCACAUACCGUACCCCAUCUGCUGCUGCUCUCUGCUCAGAAAUACACAGCUGUAAAGUAAAAUGACAGCAAAGUAUUGCCAAAGUCAGUUAAUAAAUUUCUGAAGUUAUAAUUUCAGUGACAGAUUUGCUCAGCAGAGGUUCAAUAGAUGUCAGAUACAUGUCAAAUAAAAGUACAAUUUUCAACCCAGAGGGCAGAAUAAUUUUUAAGCAAAAAAAUAUAAGCAUGCAUUUAGAAGGGGAGGAAAGUUAUAAGUUGUAAUACUUUAUGACCAAAUCACACCUCUGUUCACCUGAGAAGCAGGAGGAUUAGGCAAUUAGCUACACGAAUAUAUGCUAAAACUUAUGUUUUUAGCAAUACUUAGUAGCUAAUCUUUUAAUAGUUCUGGUGUCUUCAGUGUACAGUCUGCUAAUAUAAGACCAAAUCCUUCAGCUGUGCUUCUGAAGCGGUUGCCUCACUGGUUUGACUUGCUAUGCUCCCACUUCCCACACUUCCAAGCCUGAGGUGGCUCUUCAACCUAGCUAGUCCACCCACAGGAGGACACUUCCGAUUGUACUGGCCCUCAGUGGCAACCUAAAGGCCAUUUUGGCGAUCGGAUGUAAUCAAUCAACUCUUUCCUCUUGACUUCAUGCAUUAUAAAUUCCUUUGGUCUUGCACAAUGUUGACUAUGUCAUGGCCAUACAAAAGACUAAGCCCUUCUGAUUUUGGAUUGCUUGGAAAAACUGGGAUCAUUACUAACACUUUAAUUCAGUCAAGUACAUCUAUCCAGAAGCAAAUCCUAUAAGAUUACAUGCUGGAAAGCUUUUGCCCUGAAAAAGGAUUAGGGGUCAGAGCAGGCAAACAACAUAUUUGGACUUCCAGUGUGAUGCUGUGAGGUAUGACAUAGUCAGACUUGUGGCUUUAUAAUCAAAUGCCAUCGACAGGACCAGAGUAUGAUUUUCAUCUCCUUGUGCAGCAUGGGUGAGACCAGUACUACAAGACUGCUUACAUUCUCAUGUCCCUGUCCUUUUUAAAGCAUGUUGAGAAAAUGGACUAGAGGGCUAGGAGGCUUCCUUUCCUCUUCCCCUGUCCCUUGUUGGUGGAAAUGUGCUCCAUGACUAUAGGCUGCUUUCCAAGAAGGGAAAGCAUUUUUCUGCUCCUCCAAUUUAGUUAAAUUAUUUAAUGACUGACUUGCACAGUGGCAAGAUUGUAGUCAGGCUAUUUGCAGUCUCCAGUUCUGAUGCAGAGAACUGUAAUGAGCAGUGUCAAAUACGCUUAUACUUGAAUAGAAAUAUAGGACACCAGUCCUCAACUUCUUGAAAAUCAAGACUAUAAAAAACAGAGUCAUGGAUUUGGCGCUGAGAAGACAGGCGAGCUCACUGUAUUCUUAAAAACAAUCUCUGUGCAAGGGGGAGGAGUGAUUCCUUGUAGCCUGCACUGUUAGGCUGUCAUAGGGAAGAAUGAUACCCACAGCAGAUGCAGGACCUGGCUUUAGCUGGUAAACUCAAAUAUUACUUAAAGAAAAUGUGUCAGUUAAUAUGUCCUUGAGUUUAGUCCAGGUGCGUAAGCACAAUGUUGAACUCUCACUGUGAUCAAAAUAAGAGUUUAACAAAGGGUACUUAAACAUCAUUCCUACCUAAGCCAAACUAUGUUUAUCCUGCUACUGUAGAUUAACUUACUCUAAGAGGAAAAAAGUUUUGUGCUAAUUACUUUGAAUUUAGAAAAGGAGCCAAACAUUUCUUGAUGCCACGUUGAGUUCAACCUAUAAGAAGGAAGAGGCCAACAUUACUGAGACUUUUUAAAAUCUUUAUUUAGCUAUCUGAAGGGACAGCCUAUUUUCUAGAAGUGCUGCAUACCAACUCUCUGCUUGAAAGCAGCAGUACUUUGAACAUUUUGCACCUCUGAAAAGUGUUUCUUUUAUUUUUUAAGAUCCAAAGAUUGACAGGAACAAGUUAUUGACCCUGCUUCAUAUUAGAAAUGUCAUAUGUGAGAGCUGAUAAUGAGCUAAAUUUGGAUUGAGAUAGGGAAGUCAAGGCUAGAAAGUAGAAAAUGUGAUAUUAUUAAGACCUGUACACUUCCAUAUGAAGCAUGCAUGGCUUCCUCAAAAGAAAGUGUAAAAGAAAGCAUAGUAGUACCUGCAAGACUAGGAGACUAAAGACUAUUGAAAACACCUGUGCUUAGAAGACAGGAACAGCCCCUAGAAGCAAAUGUGGAACAAGACCAAGAUGUGAACAAAGAUUGCCUAAAUUACCAGGUUUACUGGGCUACUUAUUUAUAUUCUUGGAUAUAUAAUUAAGUGCCUAUAUUAAAGACUUCAGUCUAAAAUAACAACUGAUUCCAGAUCCAGCAUUGAUCUCAUUUCCGUGUGUUGCUAAUAGAAAAAUUAUGGCUAUUAUUGAAUGGUAUUGUUUGUUGACAUUUUUGCUUCACAAUGUACUUUGCUUUAUCCUUUAUUUCUAUGGUGCCUUUCAUUCAAAGUACUCCAAGUGGCUCACAAAUGCUAAUUUAACCUCACGACUUCACUGUGUGGAAGGCAAGUAUUAUUAUCCCUAGGGACUGCCUUCUCUUUGUGUCUAGGAAGUGCUUACCACGCUGCUGGCACUGUUAGAGACCUUAAGCUGUUUGUGGCGCUAAAGACCUAAGGAGCAAAACCAAUAAAGGGCUAUCUUUAUUCAGUGUGAAAAAAGUCUGCUGGUAAAUCUCUAGGCAGUAAGUUUGAAAAUGGGCAGGAAAAUCUUUCUCAGUAAAAAAAAAAUUUUUCAAGACAUAGCAAGGAUGUCAUACUUCAUUUAUUUCAGUAUACAAACAGUAUUAAGUACAUACAUACAUGUAUCUUGUUCAAUGUAUGUGGCUUUUAACUGUGUGAACUGCAGUUAUAAGUCUUACUACUGUGCUUAACAGUGGAUAUAGAAGUUUAUUCUUUUGCAUCUUUUUUACAUUUACAGUGUCAGACUUGGCAGAUCAGGGCAGAACACUUAGUAUUUGUGGAUGUUUCAUCCUGAUGGAUUUGAGUGGGAUUAAAGUAGAGGAAGGCUAACAAAUUGCAUGAUACUAACAGAUUUAUAUGUCUUUUUGGUAAUUAGUGAUAUAAAAAAACAUCCCUUUUGGUGUAACAUGGAGGAUUAGAGAGUGCUUUUUACUUGCACUGAAUUUUGCUGGGAUUGUAAAACUAUUUGAUAAACACUCAUCAAAAAGGCAGAAGUUCAUAGGUGCUCCUAUUGUUUCCCAGUGACAAAAGUAUUCUGUGCCUAGAUGUGGUUAGUAAAUGGUGUCUUUCGGUUUGCUGAGUUUGCAGAGUGCUGCACACAAUAAAAUAGAAAAGAAGGGAGAAGACAUUGAUUGACAUAUCUGGUAUAUACUACGUGUUUCUUUGCUGUAGACAAAUGGAAUAUGUAUUUGCAAUAAGCGUGCUGAGCUUGUCUCCAUUAGGAAUGGAGGUCUACGCUGGACCACUGCAAUAACAGUAUACUUUAAUAUUUCUGAUUGGUGGUGCUCUUAAUAGUGUCACAAUUAAUAAAAUAACCAAG